rnacentral:rRNA from 1 species
AGCGAACGCUGGCGGCAGGCUUAACACAUGCAAGUCGAGCGGGCAUCCUUGUGGUGUCAGCGGCAGACGGGUGAGUAACGCGCGGGAACGUGCCCUUCGGUUCGGAAUAACUCAGGGAAACUUGAGCUAAUACCGGAUACGUGCGAGAGCAGAAAGGUUUAUCUGCCGAAGGAUCGGCCCGCGUCUGAUUAGCUAGUUGGUGAGGUUAUGGCUCACCAAGGCGACGAUCAGUAGCUGGUCUGAGAGGAUGAUCAGCCACACUGGGACUGAGACACGGCCCAGACUCCUACGGGAGGCAGCAGUGGGGAAUAUUGGACAAUGGGGGCAACCCUGAUCCAGCCAUGCCGCGUGAGUGAUGACGGCCUUAGGGUUGUAAAGCUCUUUUCUCCGGGACGAUAAUGACGGUACCGGAGGAAUAAGCCCCGGCUAACUUCGUG